rnacentral:rRNA from 1 species
GCAUUAGACAGUGCCACGCUGAAUACACCAGUUCUCAUCCUAUCAAUGAAGUUUAGCAACGUUCGGCGUGGUGAGUACUUGGAACGGCGAUCGUCUCGGAGAUCACAUGUGGUUGAUGGC